rnacentral:rRNA from 1 species
GAUGAACGCUGGCGGCGUGCCUAAUACAUGCAAGUCGAGCGAAUGGAUUAAGAGCUUGCUCUUAUGAAGUUAGCGGCGGACGGGUGAGUAACACGUGGGUAACCUGCCCAUAAGACUGGGAUAACUCCGGGAAACCGGGGCUAAUACCGGAUAACAUUUUGAACCGCAUGGUUCGAAAUUGAAAGGCGGCUUCGGCUGUCACUUAUGGAUGGACCCGCGUCGCAUUAGCUAGUUGGUGAGGUAACGGCUCACCAAGGCAACGAUGCGUAGCCGACCUGAGAGGGUGAUCGGCCACACUGGGACUGAGACACGGCCCAGACUCCUACGGGAGGCAGCAGUAGGGAAUCUUCCGCAAUGGACGAAAAUCUGACGGAGCAACGCCGCGUGAGUGACGAAGGCUUUCGGGUCGUAAAACUCUGUUGUUAGGGAAGAACAAGUGCUAGUUGAAUAAGCUGGCACCUUGACGGUACCUAACCAGAAAGCCACGGCUAACUACGUGCCAGCCGCCGCGGUAA